GAUGAACGCUAGCUACAGGCUUAACACAUGCAAGUCGAGGGGAAACGACAUCGAAAGCUUGCUUUUGAUGGGCGUCGACCGGCGCACGGGUGAGUAACGCGUAUCCAACCUGCCCACCACUUGGGGAUAACCUUGCGAAAGUAAGACUAAUACCCAAUGACGUCUCUAGAAGACAUCUGAAAGAGAUUAAAGAUUUAUCGGUGAUGGAUGGGGAUGCGUCUGAUUAGCUUGUUGGCGGGGUAACGGCCCACCAAGGCAACGAUCAGUAGGGGUUCUGAGAGGAAGGUCCCCCACAUUGGAACUGAGACACGGUCCAAACUCCUACGGGAGGCAGCAGUGAGGAAUAUUGGUCAAUGGGCGAGAGCCUGAACCAGCCAAGUAGCGUGCAGGAUGACGGCCCUAUGGGUUGUAAACUGCUUUUAUAAGGGAAUAAAGUGAGUCUCGUGAGACUUUUUGCAUGUACCUUAUGAAUAAGGACCGGCUAAUUCCGUGCCAGCAGCCG
rnacentral:rRNA from 1 species